UUAAGUCACUUGGCCUUUUGGCUAAGGUCAAGUAUAGUAUCUGUACCUAUAUUAAAUGGGGUUUGGAGCAAGGAGAUGGAAUAGGAGCUUGUACCAUCCACUCCACACAUUGACCUGGUAUUGAAGUACUUACAGGAACCAUGCUUUAAAA
ensembl:snRNA U2 U2 spliceosomal RNA